CGUGUAGGCGGUUCUCCAAGUCUUUGGUGAAAUCUCCUGGCUUAACUGGGAGGAUGCCAGAGAAACUAGAGAACUUGAGGGCAGCAUAGGGGAGUGGAAUUCCCGGUGUAGUGGUGAUAUGCGUAGAUAUCGGGAGGAACACCAGUGGCGAAAGCGGCUCUCUGGGCUGCACCUGACGCUGAGGCGCAAAAGCGUGGGGAGCAAACAGGAUUAGAUACCCUGGUAGUCCACGCUGUAAACGAUGGAUACUGGGUAUGGGGGGUAUCGACCCCCUCCGUGCCGAAGCUAACGCUUUAAGUAUCCCGCCUGGGGACUACGGCCGCAAGGCUAAA
rnacentral:rRNA from 1 species